UGGGGAAUUUUGCACAAUGGGGGAAACCCUGAUGCAGCGACGCCGCGUGAUUUAGAAGGCCUUCGGGUUGUAAAAAUCUUUUUUACGGGAUGAAAAUGACAGUACCGUAAGAAUAAGGUCCGGCUAAAUACGUGCCAGCAGCCGCGGUAAUACGUAUGGACCGAGCGUUGUCCGGAAUCAUUGGGCGUAAAGGGUACGUAGGCGGCCUAGUAAGUUAGAAGUGAAAUAAUAUAGCUCAACUAUAUAAAGCUUUUAAAACUGCUAGGCUUGAGAGAUUGAAGGGAAAGUGGAAUUCCUAGUGUAGCGGUGAAAUGCGCAGAUAUUAGGAAGAAUACCGGUGGCGAAGGCGACUUUCUGGUCAUCAUCUGACGCUGAGGUACGAAAGCGUGGGUAGCAAACAGG
rnacentral:rRNA from 1 species